rnacentral:rRNA from 1 species
AACGAACGCUGGCGGCGUGCCUAACACAUGCAAGUCGAACGGGAUUCGGAGCUUGCUCCGAUGAGAGUGGCGCACGGGUGAGUAACGCGUAGAUAAUCUGCCUGAUGAUCUGGGAUAACAGUUCGAAAGGACUGCUAAUACCGGAUAAGCCCACGGAGACCUUGGUCUUUGCGGGAAAAGGGGGGGACCUUCGGGCCUUCCGUCAUCAGAUGAGUCUGCGUACCAUUAGCUAGUUGGUAGGGUAAAGGCCUACCAAGGCGACGAUGGUUAGCUGGUCUGAGAGGAUGAUCAGCCACACUGGAACUGAGACACGGUCCAGACUCCUACGGGAGGCAGCAGUGGGGAAUUUUGCGCAAUGGAGGAAACCCUGACGCAGCAACGCCGCGUGAGUGAUGAAGGCUCUUGGGUCGUAAAGCUCUGACAGAGGGAAAGAAGUGUAUGGUGGUUAAUACCCAUUGUACUUGACGGUACCCUCAAAGGAAGCACCGGCUAACUCCGUGCCAGCAGCCGCAGUAA